rnacentral:rRNA from 1 species
UACGUAGGGGCCUAGCGUUGUCCGGAAUUACUGGGCGUAAAGCGCGCGUAGGCGGACCUGCAAGUCGGGGGUGAAAGCCCGAGGCUCAACCUCGGAACUGCCUUCGAUACUGCGGGUCUCGAGUCCGGGAGAGGUGAGUGGAAUUCCUAGUGUAGAGGUGAAAUUCGUAGAUAUUAGGAAGAACACCAGUGGCGAAGGCGGCUCACUGGCCCGGUACUGACGCUGAGGCGCGAAAGCGUGGGGAGCGAACAGG